GAUGAACGCUCGCGGCAGGCCUAAUACAUGCAAGUCGAACGAGAUUAAGAGGCUUGCUUCUUAUGAAAGUGGCGCACGGGUGCGUAACGCGUAUGCAACCUACCUUAAUCAGGGGGAUAGCCCGAAGAAAUUCGGAUUAAGACCGCAUAAAAACACAGGAUAGCAUUAUCCAAUGUUCAAAUAUUUAUAGGAUUAAGAUGGGCAUGCGUGUCAUUAGCUAGUUGGCGGGGUAACGGCCCACCAAGGCGACGAUGACUAGGGGAUCUGAGAGGAUGACCCCCCACACUGGUACUGAGACACGGACCAGACGCCUACGGGAGGCAGCAGUAAGGAAUAUUGGUCAAUGGAGGGAACUCUGAACCAGCCAUGCCGCGUGCAGGAAGACAGCCCUCUGGGUCGUAAACUGCUUUUAGUCGGGAAUAAACCUUUCUACGUGUAGGAAGCUGAAUGUACCGAAGGAAUAAGGAUCGGCUAACUCCGUG
rnacentral:rRNA from 1 species